rnacentral:rRNA from 2 species
AGAGCUCGUGAUGAGAACCCGGCCCUCGGGUCGGGAUUGUAGUCUGGAGAGGCGUUGCCAGCCGGCGGCGGGGUCGAAGUCUCUUGGAAAAGAGCAUCAAGGAGGGUGACAAUCCCGUUCCGGUCCCUGCUCGUCGUGCGCACGGCGCGCUUUCUACGAGUCGAGUUGCUUGGGAUUGCAGCUCAAAGCGGGUGGUAAAUUCCAUCUAAAGCUAAAUACCGGUGGGAGACCGAUAGCGAACAAGUACCGUGAGGGAAAGAUGCAAAGAACUUUGAAAAGAGAGUUAAAGAGUGCCUGAAAUUGCUGAAAGGGUAGCGAAGGAAGCCAGUGUCUGGUGGUUCUGCUUCUCCGACGGUCUCCGGACCGUCGGGCUGCGCUUCCGCUGUGGCCAGGGCUGGGUUGGGCCGCGGGAACUAGCGUCCCCGGGAGGUACGUCUCUUCGGAGGUGGAAUGCCGGGGCGCUCUCCGUCGCGGCCUUGGGCCGGUCCUGACGAAAUGGUUUUCUUCACCCCGUCUUGAAACACGGACCAAGGAGUCUAACAUGCCCGCGAGUACAGGGGCGGCAAACCCCCGUGCGCAGUGAAAGUGAAUGUAGGUGGGACGCUUCGGCUGCACCAUCGACCGACCGUGCCCCCCCGGGGUCGAGGUUUGAGUGUGAGC